rnacentral:rRNA from 1 species
CCCGGGUCUUGUACACACCGCCCGUCACACCAUGGGAGCGGGAUGUACCAGAAGUAGGUAGGCUAACCGCAAGGGGGCCGCUUACCACGGUGCGUUUCGUGACUGGGGGUG